UGUGAGUUAGAUUCAGUUUCCUCAUCUGUCAAAUGAGGAAACUGGACUUGAUUACCUCUAAAAUCUCCUUGGGCUCUUAAACUAUAAUGAUUUUCAGUGAAGCUCUCAUAGGUUUAUCAUAGCUAAAAAUAUAG